rnacentral:rRNA from 1 species
UCUACGGGAGGCAGCAGUAGGGAAUAUUGCUCAAUGGGGGAAACCCUGAAGCAGCAACGCCGCGUGGAGGAUGAAGGCUUUCGGAUUGUAAAGUCCUUUUGUUGGAGAAGAUAAUGACGGUAUCUAAAGAAUAAGCACCGGCUAACUCCGUGACAGCAGCCGCGGUAAUACGGAGGGUGCAAGCGGUAGUCGGAAUCACUGGGCGGAAAGAGCGCGUAGGCGGGAUAGCAAGUCAGAUGUGAAAUCCUAUGGCUUAACCAUAGAACUGCAUUUGAAACUGUUAUUCUAGAGUAUGGGAGAGGUAGGUGGAAUUCUUGGUGUAGGGGUGAAAUCCGUAGAGAUCAAGAGGAAUACUCAUUGCGAAGGCGACCUGCUAGAACAUGACUGACGCUGAUGCGCGAAAGCGUGGGGAGCAAACAGGAUUAGAUACCCUAGUAGUC